GGUGAGAGUCAUCAUAAAUUCUCGUCUCCACCGCUUUUAAGAAUAAAAAAGCAAAAACAAACCGACUUCAAAACCAUUUAGGCUCCAGAAGAUCAUCCCCAGAUGGGGCCACAAUUGGAUCAGGUCUAUCUCGACCUGCCAUUGAUAUUACUCCAAUUUCACAACGGCGACCGUGGUGCUCACGCUCGCACGCGAAAUUUCCCUUUGCAGAUUUGCCCUAUGAAUACCAGCCGCCAGUACACUAGCAAACGCUACGAGUUAACCCGUGAGAGCAAAGGACUCGUGAAAACGAAGCUGCUAAAACACGCCUUUCCGCCAUAGCCGCAAGCUCGAGCCAGAUCUCUCCACUUUUUCCACCGCCUCGCCGGAGAACGGCCAUGAAAGCGCGACUAGCGAGCUGCAGGCGAAAGUCUUGACGGGAGGAGGGCGAAAGAAUCAGCGCAGUGAGAAGGCGUCACUGAUUCAUGUAUUUCCAUGUGACAAAGUAGCUGAACUUUUGAUUGACGAAUUGAUCAGGUCCGUUUACCGUUUCUGAAGCACACCCCUGCUUUACAUUUACAAUACAUGCAUGAUACCUCGAUUUUCAACUGUCAGAAUUAUCAUGUUUACAUGCUGUGUGGGACCCCUUGUGAAUUUGGGAGAUUACUUUGGUUUCGGUGUAGCCAUUGCACACCUCACGGUCAUGGCACGCCUUACGGACCGCGACUGUUGUGCGCAUUGUGGCCCGCGGUUAUCGUGUUCCUCGCAGCUUGUGGUUGUCUCAUUCUUCUUGGCCUGAGGCUGUCUUGCACCUCGUAGCCUGCGAUCGUCUUCGUCUGCAAUUGUUGCCUUCCGCAACCAUCUGACGUUGCCUUCUGCAGCUGUUUCACAUCCGCAAUCGUCCGGCGUUGCCUUCCUCAGCCGUCGUCUUCCAUAGCCAUCUGGUGUCGCCUUUCUCAGUCGUCGUCUUCUGCAAUCGUCCGGCAUUGCCUUUCUCAGUCAUCAUCUUCCGUAACUAUUUAGCGUUGCCUUCUGCCAUUGUCUGCGGCCUUUUGCCGCUAGGUUGUCCUGAUUAAGCUGGAUUGAUCCAUUUAUAAAUUUAUUUUUUCGAUAGUUUUUCUAA